rnacentral:rRNA from 1 species
UGAAAUCUGGCUUCGGCCCGAGUUGUAAUUUGUAGAGGAUGCUUUUGGUGAGGUGCCUUCUGAGUUCCCUGGAACGGGACGCCAGAGAGGGUGAGAGCCCCGUAUAGUUGGACACCGAGCCUCUGUAAAGCUCCUUCGACGAGUCGAGUAGUUUGGGAAUGCUGCUCAAAAUGGGAGGUAUAUCUCUUCUAAAGCUAAAUACUGGCCAGAGACCGAUAGCGCACAAGUAGAGUGAUCGAAAGAUGAAAAGCACUUUGAAAAGAGGGUUAAAUAGUACGUGAAAUUGUUGAAAGGGAAGCGCUUGUGACCAGACUUGUGCCCGGCUGAUCAUCCAGUGUUCUCACUGGUGCACUCUGCCGGGCUCAGGCCAGCGUCGGUUCUCGCAGGGGGACAAAAGCUUCGGGAACGUAGCUCCUCCGGGAGUGUUAUAGCCCGUUGCUCAAUACCCCUGCGGGGACCGA